rnacentral:rRNA from 1 species
CAAUAGCGUAUAUUAAAGUUGUUGCGGUUAAAAAGCUCGUAGUUGGAUUUCUGCUGAGAACGACCGGUCCGCCCUUUGGGUGUGUAUCUGGCUCUUUCUUGGCAUCUUCUUGGUGAACGUUGCUGCACUUGACUGUGUGGAGCGCUACCCAGGACUUUUACUUUGAGGAAAUUAGAGUGUUUCAAGCAGGCAUACGCCUUGAAUACAUUAGCAUGGAAUAAUAAGAUAGGACCUCGGUUCUAUUUUGUUGGUUUCUAGAGCUGAGGUAAUGAUUAAUAGGGAUAGUUGGGGGCAUUCGUAUUUAACUGUCAGAGGUGAAAUUCUUGGAUUUGUUAAAGACGGACUACUGCGAANGNAUUGGCNAAGGAUGUUUNCAUUG